UACGUAGGGUGCGAGCGUUGUCCGGAUUUAUUGGGCGUAAAGAGCUCGUAGGCGGUUUGUCGCGUCGGCCGUGAAAUCUCCACGCUUAACGUGGAGCGUGCGGUCGAUACGGGCAGACUUGAGUUCGGUAGGGGAGACUGGAAUUCCUGGUGUAGCGGUGAAAUGCGCAGAUAUCAGGAGGAACACCGGUGGCGAAGGCGGGUCUCUGGGCCGAUACUGACGCUGAGGAGCGAAAGCCGUGGGGGAGCGAACAGG
rnacentral:rRNA from 1 species